UCCCUGGUUGAUCCUGCCAGUAGUCAUAUGCUUGUCUCAAAUAUUAAGCCAUGCAUGUCUCAGUGCAUGCCGAAUUAAGGUGAAACCGCGAAUGGCUCAUAAAAUCAGUUAUGGUUCAUUAGAUUGUACCAACAUUUACUUGGAUAACUGUGGUAAUUCUAGAGCUAAUACAUGCAAAACAGAGUCCCGACCAGUGAUGGAAGAGACGCUUUUAUUAGAUCAAAACCAAUUGGUGGCGCGCGUUCCGCCGUGCGUCCACCGUUUAUUUUGGUGACUCUGAAUAACUUUGUGCUGAUCGCACGGUCUCUGCACCGGCGACGCAUCUUUCAAAUGUCUGCCUUAUCAACUGUCCAUGGUAGGUUCUGCGCCUACCAUGGUUGUAACGGGUAACGAGUAAUCAGUGUUCGAUUCCGGAGAGGGAGCCUGAGAAACGGCUACCACAUCCAAGGAAGGCAGCAGGCGCGCAAAUUAUCCACUCCCGGCACGGGGAGGUAGUGACGGAAAAUAACGAUACGGGAUUCAUCCGAGGCCCCGUAAUCGGAAUGAGUACACUUUAAAUCCUUUAACGAUGAUCCAUUGGAGGGCAAGUCUGGUGCCAGCAGCCGCGGUAAUUCCAGCUCCAAUAGCGUAUAUUAAAGUUGUUGCGUUUAAAAAGCUCGUAGUUGAAUCUGUGUCGCACACCGUCGGUUCACCGCUCGCGGUGUAUAACUGGCGUGAUGUGGGACGUCCUACCGGUGGGCUUAGCCUCGCGA
rnacentral:ncRNA from 1 species